rnacentral:tmRNA from 1 species
GGGGAUGACAGGGUUCGAUAGACGGAUCAAGUUAUCGGUAUUUGCAUGUCGAGCCUAGGCCUCGUUAAACCCUAGAAAAUUCUACGUGCAAACGUAUUUACAGCUGUGAAAGCUAGAAUUGCUUCUGCAUUCUCUAUGCCUUCAUUCGCUGCCGCUAUCGCUUAAGUGCUUUAGCCAUCGACCCUACCAUACUCAAUAGUAGGUCAUCGGUGUCAAUUAUUGAGCGUAGGAACUGGGUUGUCUUGCCCAGGCUCCGAAACUGCAUCAAGGCUUCUGGUACUCCAAGUUUUUGCUUCAUUUCUUACUUGCUGUACGUCAAUACAAAUGAGCUAAGCAUGAAGAUGGUAUCCAUAACCCGCUCUAGACCCGAGUUCAAUUCUCGGCAUCUCCACAA